UACGAAGGGAGCUAGCGUUGUUCGGAAUCACUGGGCGUAAAGCGCACGUAGGCGGAUUUGUCAGUCAGGGGUGAAAUCCCGGAGCUCAACUCCGGAACUGCCUUUGAUACUGGCGAUCUUGAGAUCGGAAGAGGUGAGUGGAAUUCCGAGUGUAGGGGUGAAAUUCGUAGAUAUUCGGAAGAACACCAGUGGCGAAGGCGACUCGCUGGACAAGUAUUGACGCUGAGGUGCGAAAGCGUGGGGGAGCAAAACAGG
rnacentral:rRNA from 1 species